CCCGAGUUGUUGAUGGAUUAGCCAACGAGUUGAUCAUUCCCUAUGCAAGUUUUAUUAGUUAAAGCAAAUGUAGUGCCGAAGUUGGGCAUUGCUGGAAGAUUUUUAUCCUAAAAUGAAUGAUCCGGGGGGCAUAAUACGACACAUUUGUUAGAAGUGCUCAUCGAAGAACAUAACACCUGUAUAACGGAAACUAGGGCAACAAGAGUGGAAGGAAGCACCAAUCAAAAGGAUUAAUGGGUGUGAAAUGGUUAAGUGGUGAGACUUCAACAAUCACUAAGCAUUUUAUCUGGCUAACUUACAUGUAUAAGAAUAAUAAGAGUGAUCUACGCCUAAAUGGAUGUGAACUAGUAUUGAUCAAGAAGUGAUCCUGAGCACCUACUUACGAUUCAAUCAUAACCCCAGUAUAUUUUGUUCUUGGUUCAAACCUCAUAAGAAGAUAUGGUCAUGGUUACACACACAGUUGGCGUAUUUCAAUUGGAUAAAUUGUCAAAUUUUCUACGACUAAGAAUUAUAAAUUUCCAAGUCACCACGUAAUCACGGGAACGACUUUUCGUAAGAUUUAAACCUACAAGGGUUUUCCAAGUAGUCCAUCAUAAAUUCCACACGCAUCCGAUGGGAAACCUCACAACAUGAUAACAUGAUGCUUAUGAUAAGGAAUCCCGAUGUACAAGCCACUCGUGAAAGGUAAAACAAAACCAGUAAGAACUCCCGAUGUGUUAAUGAUCCCAAUAGGACCCUUGUAUCCUGUUCUCAGAACACGAUGGAUAAGCAAAGCGUACAUGUUAUACCAAUCUUCUAGUUACCCCGUGGCGGCUCAGCACAAUGCUCUAUUUUGGACCAACACUCAUGAGGAGCACUAGCCUAGGUUGUUGAUUAAUUAUCCACGGGUAGAUUAAUCCCUAUGCAAGUUUUAAUAAUUAAGUAAGUGUAGUACCAAAGUUGGGCCUUGCUAGAAUAGUUUUAUCAUAAAAUGAAUGAUUAACAGGCCUAGAGUACCCCAC
rnacentral:lncRNA from 1 species